rnacentral:rRNA from 1 species
AUACGGAGGGUGCAAGCGUUAAUCGGAAUUACUGGGCGUAAAGCGCGCGUAGGCGGUUUAGUCAGUCAGAUGUGAAAGCCCCGGGCUCAACCUGGGAACUGCAUUUGAUACUGCUGAACUAGAGUAUGGUAGAGGGAAGUGGAAUUCCGGGUGUAGCGGUGAAAUGCGUAGAUAUCCGGAGGAACACCAGUGGCGAAGGCGACUUCCUGGACCAAUACUGACGCUGAGGUGCGAAAGCGUGGGUAGCAAACAGGAGUAGAUACCCUAGUAGUCC